rnacentral:tRNA from 1 species
GCCCUUGUAGUUCAAUGGAUAGAACGAGGGAUUCCUAAUCCCUAGAUUCAGGUUCGAUUCCUGGCUUGGGCACCA